UGUGAAUACAAGAAUGCCUGACUCACCAAAUGAUUUCCUAGAAUAGUUAGCUGGGUGGAGACUCACCAAGUUAAUAACUAAACCCAACCCUCAAGUCCAUUGGCAAAGGACAUAUUUGAGCUUAAUGACUCUGUAUACACCCAGAAAGAUAAAGGAGGCUUUGAGAUCCUGCUUGGUAGACUGGGAAGAAGAAAAUGACUCAUUAGGUACCUGGAACACUGAAUGGCCUGCACUGGAAAUAUUUUGAAAGGACAGUGGAAAAGCUGCUGGAAAAAAAUGCGAAAACAAUUUUUUGACUUGAGUUCAUAUUUUUCAUUCAAUGUCUGCGGGGCCCUCAAUGUAACUUUUUUUUUUUUUUGAGAGGGGUCAUCCUCCAAUCAUUAACUACUUCUAAUCUUCACUGCUACACAGAGUUUCCAAUAUUUAGCAACAGAUGGCUUUGCUUUUACCUUAUAGAUGAGGCCAAAGCACCAGGAAUAACUAACCUCAAAUUUGUAACCGUUCUGCUUUUUGCCACCCAACAUACCCUGCAGUGGCUCUCAAACCUGUACCUGAGGAAAGUGGUCCACUCCCACCAGUGAGAAGACUCACAGGGCAGCAGGGAUUCUUAGCUAGAGGGCAUAGCCAUUGAAAGAGAUGAAAACGGAAUCUCCUGGAGUGUGUGUGAUUUCAAAAAGCUCCCCAGCCGAGAUAAGAAAAUUAGUCUGGCAGCAGGAUGGAGGAUGGCUUGGAGAGAAGAGCAAAAAGAAGCAGGGAGGGUUGUUGGGAAGACGGAAACAGGUCUGAGACAAACAAAGAAGUCUUGACAGCACUUGAGCAACUGAAGAAAAGGGAGGAAGGCAUUAUUCACAGUAGCCAGGAUAUGAAAACAACCUAGGUGUCUGUCAGCAGAUGAAUGGAUAAAGAAACUGUGGUAUACGUUUAUACAAUAGAAUAUUAUUCAGCCUUAAAAAAGGAGGAG